rnacentral:rRNA from 1 species
GCUUACGGCCAUACCACUCUUGAACAAGCCCGAUCUCGUCUGAUCUCGGAAGCUAAGCAGGGUCGGGCCUGGUUAGAACUUGGAUGGGAGACUGCCUAGGAAUACAAGGUGCUGUAAGCC